rnacentral:rRNA from 1 species
GACGAACGCUGGCGGUGUGCUUAACACAUGCAAGUCGAACGGUAAGGCCCUUUCGGGGGUACACGAGUGGCGAACGGGUGAGUAACACGUGAGUAACCUGCCCUCAUCUCUGGGAUAACAGUCGGAAACGGUUGCUAAUACUGGAUAUGAGCUUGCAAGGCAUCUUGUGGGUUGGAAAGAUUUUUUUUGGUUGGGGAUGGACUCGCGGCCUAUCAGCUUGUUGGUGAGGUAGUGGCUCACCAAGGCUUCGACGGGUAGCCGGCCUGAGAGGGCGACCGGCCACAUUGGGACUGAGAUACGGCCCAAACUCCUACGGGAGGCAGCAGUGGGGAAUAUUGCACAAUGGACGGAAGUCUGAUGCAGCAACGCCGCGUGCGGGAUGACGGCCUUCGGGUUGUAAACCGCUUUCAAUUGUGACGAAGCUUUUUUGCGACGGUAGCAGUAGAAGAAGCACCGGCUAACUACGU